ACACGCAUGACACACUGCAUAUCAAUAAGCGGAGGAAAAGAAACUAACUAGGAUUCCCUUAGUAACGGACGAGUGAAGCGGGAAGAGCUCAAAUCUGAAAUCUUCAAGGUUCUACCUUGACGAAUUGUAGUUUAAAGAAGUGUUUUCUGUUAGUGGAGUGGCAAAAGUUCUCUGGAAUAGGACAUCAUAGAGGGUGAGAAUCCCGUAUUUGGUCAUUCCUUCUAGCUUUGUGAUACACUUUCAAAGAGUCGGAUUGUUUGGGAAUGCAGUCCAAAAUGGGUGGUAAAUUUCAUCUAAAGCUAAAUAUUGGCGAGAGACCGAUAGCGAACAAGUACCGUGAGGGAAAGGUGAAAAGAACUUUGAAAAGAGAGUUAAACAGUACGUGAAAUUGUCAAAAGGGAAGCGUUUGACACCAGUGUUGUUUUUCCGAAAAUCAAUUACGAAUGUUUUGUUUUUAAGAAGUUAUGACUUCAUCGGCUUGCUUCUUUCUUUACGAAACUUUCUUAAUGCACUUUUCGGUUAACAAGUCAACAUCAAUUUCUUUUGUUGUAAAAGGGUAUGAGGAAGGUGGCUUUCUUUUCGGAGAAAGUGUUUAUAGCCUUGUACCUCUGCAAUCGGAGAGAUUGAGGUCUGCAGCGUAGAUCCUUCGGGGUUAGAUACAUUUGUGCUAAGUUAUAGCUUUUCAUAGACAACUUGUUGACUAUGUUUAGUCUUGUAGCUUACUCGCUUAUGCUAUUUUACCUACGCUUAGGAUGUUGAGCGCAUGUCUCUCUCU
rnacentral:rRNA from 1 species